CCUGAAAGGCUUAUCACCAUCAAAAGGCUGGCACCCUAAACCUUCUUUCUCAUGAUACAUGGCAGAACCCACCAAGAACCCGCCAUAAUCUGGUAAACCAAAGUUGCCUAUUGCACUGUCAUGUUUUGAUCUUAAACUCAAUGGAGACAACACACUUAUGCUACUCUUCUCCACCACAAAACGACCAAACACAAAGCUCCCCAGAAGUUCUGAUACCAGAAAUAAAAACAAAAGUUUUCCCAAACGAGCCAUGCAAAUGAUCGUCAUUACCAAUAAUCAUACAAAACAAAAGGUUUUGGGUUUGUUUGGUUUAUUCUUGCUCUGCUUGGCCGAGAGAAAAGAGAAAUGGGGACGUUUGUGGAGAGGAGACUUUGCAGCAGUCCACAGAUGAAAAGAGAGAAAUUCAGAACUUGUAGUUUACUUUAGGUUUGGUCUUUGUAUAAGAAAAUAAAUAAAACUGUGACGUAAAGGAAACGGCAAAAGCAGAGGAAGAGUAAGCUGGUGGACGGAGUCAGCGG
rnacentral:misc_RNA from 1 species